AGGUCUAACUUGAGUUUCACACAGUUUUUAUUAGAAAACAAUCAAAUUGUUAAAUGCUUAAAGUACACAAAAUGUCAGAAAUCUGCACCGUCAUGAACAGAAAUUUAAACCUAAUUUUUCGUGAUUUGUUGAUUAACCCUCCGAGGUCUGAAUCCCAGGUUGUGCACAUCAACAUCACAGAUUUGUACAAAUAAAGUUUAUAACAAAGACAUGUUAAAUAUUAAGCACUGGAAACAGCUUGGUUGUUGUUGUUUGGAACAUGUUGUUUUGUUGCCAUAGCGAUGCCUCCAGGGACCAUAAAAUGACAUCACAGCAUUUAAACAUGUUUUGAAUGAAAACAUCAGCAUAUGAACACAAAACUGAAGAGACACUGCAACCGCAUGAAAGCAGACCACUAUUUAGUGACAUUUCGACGUUUCCCUGAGGAUUAACUGCUCCGUAAUUUACCAAGAACUAAAUCAAAAUGAGUGGAAGUGGAGAUGGAUUUCAAACUAACCGUAACGGCCAACAGGUUAACCCACAAUCAAUUGCAAGUGGAGAUCAGGAACCUGCUCAUCAACCAGCUAACCGAAGAGCUAACCGAAGAGCUAACCGACGAGCUAACCGACCAGCUAACCGACCAGCUAACCGACCAGCUAACGAAGAUAUCGGUGGACUCCGGGGCUUCGCGAACGAUCUUUAUCUUGCUCUUCGUGAUAUUUAUUUGUUUCUGGAUAGGCUAAUAGCUUCAGUACUGGAACAAUAUGACAAUUACCUUUACAAUGACACUGACACUGACGAUGACACUGACGAUGACGAUGACAAUGACAACAAUGUCAAUGUUCAAAAUAUUAAUGUAAGGAAUUUAAUGCUAAUGCUGACAACAAUGAACAGCAUGAGGAUCAUAAUGCUGUGGUUGUUGUUGGCAUUGAAAAUGAGGAUUCGGAUGAGGCAUUUGAAGACUGUGUGGAUGUUGACCAGCACAUCCCAGAAGAGGACCCUCAGCCAGGUGUAUCCAGGAGGAGGUCUAGAGAGAUGGAUGAAGAAGAAGAUGUGGAACCAAACAAAAGAAUCAGAUGGAGCGAGGAGUUUUCUGAUGAUGACUCUGACUUCUUCUCUGCUUGUGACACUGAUAGCGAGAGCUGUCCUCGUGUAGGUAAUAUUGCCGAUGAGGACAUCAGUCAGCAGUCAACAGAAGAAGAACCGCAGCCUGGUGGAUCCACGAAAAGGUCCAGAGAGGAAGAUGUUGAUGAAGAAGAGCGUGAUAGCAAAAAAUCCAGGCUUGCACACUCUGAUUCGGGGACCAGCUCAGCUGUGUACGACCACUCUGAGAGCAGCAGUGAUGAACUUUUUGAAGAUGCACACGAAGAGCUUGGCAACCAUGAAGGUGGAGGCUCGAGGAAGUGUUCCCGAGAGGAUUUUGAGGAAGAAGAGGAAUACUUGCCUGUAUGCAAAUUUCGGAGGUGUUCAACUGAGUCCAGCAGCAGCAGUGAUGAAGACUAACACCAUUUCGACGGGUUUCUUCAGUAUCCUUUUAGUAGGCUGAUGGCCUACUCAGGUGACCCUGAAUCCUCCAUGCUGCAAUAAGCUGGGCAUACACUGUGCUGCAAUUUUUUCAGUCGCGUUAUUCAGCUCCUGGUCAAACUGUACGAUUGACUCACAGGGAUGAGAAGUUUGUGCCUCCAUCGCUCGUGUCCAGAUCACACGCCGCACCACCGUUCUGCUCCGUCUUUUCACACUCAUUUCUGCGUUUGCGCGUGCGCAGUGUAAGACGCUGCGGUGACGCCCUCAGGACGGCCCACAGGAUUUCAAACAGGUUUGAUUUUCUUACGAGCAAAUGAUUGAUGAUC